AGACUAGGGACCCCGAUUGCAAAUCUGAGGAAGCAGGUUAAUCGCCUGCCAGGGCUU
rnacentral:tRNA from 1 species